UACAGAGGUCCCAAGCGUUGUUCGGAUUCACUGGGCGUAAAGGGUGCGUAGGUGGUGAGGUAAGUCGGAUGUGAAAUCUCCGAGCCUCAACUCGGAAAUGGCAUUGGAAACUACCUUGCUCGAGGGUUGGGAGGGGGGACUGGAAUGCUUGGUGUAGCAGUCGAAAUGCGUAGAUAUCAAGCGGAACACCAGUGGCGAAGGCGAGUCCCUGGGACAACUCCUGAC
rnacentral:rRNA from 1 species